GACGAACGCUGGCGGCGUGCUUAACACAUGCAAGUCGAACGCUGAAGACCUGGCUUUUGUUGGGUUGGAUGAGUGGCGAACGGGUGAGUAACACGUGAGUAACCUGCCCUCUUCUUUGGGAUAACGCCCGGAAACGGGUGCUAAUACUGGAUAUUCACUGAUCUUCGCAUGGGGGUUGGUGGAAAGGUUUGUUCUGGUGGGGGAUGGGCUCGCGGCCUAUCAGCUUGUUGGUGGGGUGAUGGCCUACCAAGGCUUUGACGGGUAGCCGGCCUGAGAGGGUGACCGGUCACAUUGGGACUGAGAUACGGCCCAGACUCCUACGGGAGGCAGCAGUGGGGAAUAUUGCACAAUGGGCGAAAGCCGGAUGCAGCGACGCCGCGUGAGGGAUGGAGGCCUUCGGGUUGUAAACCUCUUUCGCUCAUGGUCAAGCCGCAACUGUGGGUUGUGGUGAGGGUAGUGGGUAAAGAAGCGCCGGCUAACUACGUG
rnacentral:rRNA from 1 species